UACCAGGUUUUUUUUAAAACCACUGAAUAAAUCGGACCAAAAUCAA
rfam:Caenorhabditis japonica strain DF5081 Contig18234.5, whole genome shotgun sequence.